GCUACCGGCUGACAGUUUGACUUGCGUCUGCUCUAGAAACGUUGAGAUCCCUUGGUCAGCAUGUCUCCGUUGAAAUAAAAGCAGCCCAGACAGGUUCUCACGGCAACAGCAAAGGCACAAGCAUGCAUGAAAGCAUGCAAUGCCCUUUGAAGGGUGGGCUCAGAACUCUCUCACCACCGUUUUCUUAGCCAAAGCAAGUCAUGUGGCCAAGCUCAGAGCCGGAGCGAGAGGAUACUAUGCAAGUUUACGCUAUAAAACGUGUCUAUAGUGGGAGCGAGAGAAGGGUUGCUUCUUGGGGAAGAUACUCAAACCCUCUGAACCUUGUGUAUUUGUGUAUGAAAAUGAACCAAUGCUACACACCUCCUCGGAUUGUUGGGGGAAUGACGCAGGAUGAUGAAUGUGGAAGCGGUUUGUAAGCCGUGAAGGGCUCAACAGUCACCGGUUCCUGCCCUGUUUAGAGCAAUGCCAAAAAGUCGGG